rnacentral:rRNA from 1 species
CCAGCCGCCGCGGUAAGACGGAGGAUGCAAGCGUUAUCCGGAAUGAUUGGGCGUAAAGCGUCCGCAGGUGGCAGUUCAAGUCUGCUGUCAAAGACCGGGGCUCAACCUCGGAAAGGCAGUGGAAACUGAACAGCUAGAGUAUGGUAGGGGCAAAGGGAAUUCCUGGUGUAGCGGUGAAAUGCGUAGAGAUCAGGAAGAACAUCGGUGGCGAAGGCGCUUUGCUGGACCAUAACUGACACUCAGGGACGAAAGCUAGGGGAGCGAAUGGGAUUAGAUACCCCAGUAGUCCUAGCCGUAAACGAUGGAUACUAGGUGUUGUCUGUAUCGACCCGGACAGUGCCGUAGCUAACGCGUUAAGUAUCCCGCCUGGGGAGUACGCAGGCAACUGUGAAACUCAAAGGAAUUGACGGGGGCCCGCACAAGCGGUGGAGUAUGUGGUUUAAUUCGAUGCAACGCGAAGAACCUUACCAGGACUUGACAUGUCGCGAAUCUUUUGGAAACAGAAGAGUGCCUUAGGGAGCGCGAACACAGGUGGUGCAUGGCUGUCGUCGGCUCGUGUCGUGAGAUGUUGGGUUAAGUCCCGCAACGAGCGCAACCCUCGUGUUUAGUUGCCAUCAUUAAGUUGGGAACUCUAAACAGACUGCCGGUGACAAACCGGAGGAAGGUGGGGAUGACGUCAAGUCAGCAUGCCCCUUACGUCCUGGGCUACACACGUACUACAAUGGUAGGGACAGAGGGCAGCCAACUCGCGAGAGUGAACUAAUCCCGUAAACCCUGCCUCAGUUCAGAUUGCAGGCUGCAACUCGCCUGCAUGAAGGCGGAAUCGCUAGUAAUCGCAGGUCAGCAUACUGCGGUGAAUCCGUUCCCGGGCCUUGUACACACCGCCCGUCACACCAUGGAAGUUGGCCACGCCCGAAGUCAUUACUCUAACCUUUCGAGGGGGAGGAUGCCGAAGGCAGGGCUGAUGACUGGGGUGAAGUCGUAACAAGGUAACCAA